rnacentral:rRNA from 1 species
GGGCCCGCACAAGCGGUGGAGCAUGUGGCUUAAUUCGAGGCAACGCGAAGAACCUUACCUGGUCUUGACAUGCCCGUCAUAGUUUUCCGAAAGGAAUUCGUCAGUUCGGCUGGACGGUGCACAGGUGCUGCAUGGCUGUCGUCAGCUCGUGUCGUGAGAUGUUCGGUUAAGUCCGGCAACGAGCGCAACCCUCGUUCCCUAGUUGCCAGCGGGUAAUGCCGGGGACUCUAGGAAGACAAACCUCGUGUAGAGGUGGGAAGGUGGGGACGACGUCAAGUCAGUAUGGCCCUUACGACCAGGGCUGCACACGUGCUACAAUGCCCAGCACAAUGGGAUGCAACGCCGCGAGGUUGAGCAAAUCCACAAAACUGGGCCCAGUUCGGAUUGGAGUCUGCAACUCGACUCCAUGAAGUUGGAAUCGCUAGUAAUGGCGUAU